CAGCAGCCACGUAAUACAGAGGGUGCGAGCGUUAAUCGGAUUUACUGGGCGUAAAGCGUGCGUAGGCGGCUUCUUAAGUCGGAUGUGAAAUCCCUGAGCUUAACUUAGGAAUUGCAUUCGAUACUGGGAAGCUAGAGUAUGGGAGAGGAUGGUAGAAUUCCAGGUGUAGCGGUGAAAUGCGUAGAGAUCUGGAGGAAUACCGAUGGCGAAGGCAGCCAUCUGGCCUAAUACUGACGCUGAGGUACGAAAGCAUGGGGAGCAAACAGGAUUAGAGACCCCCGUAGUCCCUGUCUCUUAUACA
rnacentral:rRNA from 1 species